UGGGGCCUACGAGCGACCCCGUAAGGUCCAUCCAACUCGCGACCUGGAAACCCUAAUCAGAUCCCGAUCAAGGCACAACAUCGACUCCAAUGUCCAAUCUCGAUCGAGCCGUAGAGAGGAGCGGCCAGUUCUCGAUCCAGUGAAGACGCCGGUGUGUGUCGGUCCCCUUGAGGUGAGGUGAGGGAUUUGAGCGGGAUCCGGGUCGAGCCGAUCCAAUCCAGCGCGUGACAGAGGUGUGGUACGGGAUCAUCCGAGGCGCACGAUGCGUGUGAGGAAAGGUGGGGGCAAGGGCGAUAAUGGCAGACGCCUCGUCUGCUGGAAACUGCUCUCCUCUCCUUCAAGCUCGCAAUCAUGGCCUAUUAUUCAUUCAUGGCUGGUAAAGUCGCAAACCUUUCCUAUGCCCAGAGAAAUUUGGGGAUCAAGCUGCUGAUUGCCUCGUCAUCCAGAAAAGUUAUUUUGGUGCAAUUUUAAGGCUUUAUGGAUCUGGAUGAGUUGAUGUGACAAUGGUCGAGGAGGUGAUGCCCUACUCUCAUCUAAUACAUUGAUGAAGACUAGAGGAUUGCUGCAGGAGGCCUUGCAAAUGCUAUAGCAGAUGAUCACCCAGUUUUGACAUAGACGGACAUGGAUUCCCAAAGCAUUAUAAUCAAGGAGAGGAGAAAAGGCUUUGGACAACUUCUCUAUAUUUUUCACCCACAAGUCUGCAACCUAUUUUUUCAAUAUGGAAAUGACUUGUGACACAUUUUAUUGAAUAUCAAAGUGAGUUACAUGGUUGAACACUGAAGGAAAAACCGCCAGGAUUCUCAAGUGUCACACCACGACGCUUUAGGCUUGGCAAGCUUCCUCGCCUAUCUGUGCUAUGUUGCCCCUAGAGAAUGGCUAAAGUAGUUACAUUGAUGUACAAUGUUUUUUCUUGAUCAUUUUGUUAUAAACUGCAUGACUCAGUUCAUCUCUGGCCAUUCGAUAAACAUAACUGCAUUUAUUAUGAAUGAAUACUUAUA